rnacentral:rRNA from 1 species
GGACCCGCACAAGUAGUGGAGCAUGUGGUUUAAUUCGAAGAUACGCGCAGAACCUUACCAACACUUGACAUGUUCGUCGCGACUCUAAGAGAUUAGAGUUUUCGGUUCGGCCGGACGAAACACAGGUGCUGCAUGGCUGUCGUCAGCUCGUGUCGUGAGAUGUUGGGUUAAGUCCCGCAACGAGCGCAACCCUCACUUUUAGUUGCCAUCAAGUAAAGUUGGGAACUCUGAAAGAACUGCCAGUGAUAAGCUGGAGGAAGGUGGGGAUGACGUCAAGUCCUCAUGGCCCUUACGUGUUGGGCUACACACGUGCUACAAUGGCAUUUACAAUAGGAAGCAAGACGGCGACGUUAAGCAAAUCCUAAAAAAUGCCUCAGUUCGGAUUGUACUCUGCAACUCGAGUACAUGAAGCUGGAAUUACUAGUAAUCG